rnacentral:rRNA from 1 species
GAACGGGUGAGUAACACGUGGGCAAUCUGCCCUUCACUCUGGGACAAGCCCUGGAAACGGGGUCUAAUACCGGAUAUGACCAUCUUGGGCAUCCUUGAUGGUGUAAAGCUCCGGCGGUGAAGGAUGAGCCCGCGGCCUAUCAGCUUGUUGGUGAGGUAAUGGCUCACCAAGGCGACGACGGGUAGCCGGCCUGAGAGGGCGACCGGCCACACUGGGACUGAGACACGGCCCAGACUCCUACGGGAGGCAGCAGUGGGGAAUAUUGCACAAUGGGCGAAAGCCUGAUGCAGCGACGCCGCGUGAGGGAUGACGGCCUUCGGGUUGUAAACCUCUUUCAGCAGGGAAGAAGCGAAAGUGACGGUACCUGCAGAAGAAGCGCCGGCUAACUACGUGCCAGCAGCCGCGGUAAUACGUAGGGCGCAAGCGUUGUCCGGAAUUAUUGGGCGUAAAGAGCUCGUAGGCGGCUUGUCACGUCGAUUGUGAAAGCCCGAGGCUUAACCUCGGGUCUGCAGUCGAUACGGGCUAGCUAGAGUGUGGUAGGGGAGAUCGGAAUUCCUGGUGUAGCGGUGAAAUGCGCAGAUAUCAGGAGGAACACCGGUGGCGAAGGCGGAUCUCUGGGCCAUUACUGACGCUGAGGAGCGAAA